rnacentral:rRNA from 1 species
GGAGUCUGGGCCGUGUCUCAGUCCCAAUGUGGCCGAUCACCCUCUCAGGUCGGCUACCGAUCGUCGACUUGGUGGGCCGUUACCUCACCAACUAUCUAAUCGGACGCGAGCCCACCCUUCACCGGAUUGCUCCUUUGACCCCUUCGCCAUGUGACGUUGUGGUCUUAUGCGGUAUUAGAACACCUUUCGGUAUCUUAUCCCCCUGUGAAGGACAGGUUGCUCACGCGUUACUCACCCGUCCGCCGCUAAAACAUAUAUCUUCCGGCCGAAGCCUUCCGUUACAUGUCUCCGCUCGACUUGCAUGUGUUAAGCACGCCGCCAGCGUUCGUCCUCGAGCCACUGAUCAAACUACU